ACUGCUCAGUAACACGUGGUCAACAUACCCAGAGGACGUGGAUAACCUCGGGAAACUGAGGAUAAACCGCGAUAGACCAUAAUGUCUGGAAUGAUUUAUGGUUCAAAUCUAUAUGGCCUCUGGAUUGGACUGCGGCCGAUCAGGCUGUUGGUGAGGUAAUGGCCCACCAAACCUGAAACCGGUACGGGCUCUGAGAGGAGAAGCCCGGAGAUGGGCACUGAGACAAGGGCCCAGGCCCUAUGGGGCGCAGCAGGCGCGAAACCUUUGCAAUAGGCGAAAGCCUGACAAGGUUACUCUGAGUGAUCUCCGCUAAGGAAAUCUUUUGACACCUCUAAAAAUGGUGUAGAAUAAGGGGUGGGCAAGCCUGGUGUCAGCCGCCGCGGUAAUACCAGCACCCCGAGUGGUCGGGACGAUUAUUGGGCCUAAAGCAUCCGUAGCCGGUUCUUUAAGUCCUCCGUUAAAUCCACCUGCUUAACAGAUGGGCUGCGGAGGAUACUAUAGAGCUAGGAGGCGGGAGAGGCAAGCGGUACUCAGUGGGUAGGGGUAAAAUCCGUUGAUCCAUUGAAGACCACCAGUGGCGAAGGCGGCUUGCCAGAACGCGCUCGACGGUGAGGGAUGAAAGCUGGGGGAGCAAACCGGAUUAGAUACCCGGGUAGUCCCAGCUGUAAACGAUGCAGACUCGGUGAUGGACUAGCUUCAUGCUAGUCCAGUGCCGCAGGGAAGCCGUUAAGUCUGCCGCCUGGGUAGUACGGUCGCAAGACUGAAACUUAAAGGAAUUGGCGGGGGAG
rnacentral:rRNA from 1 species